rnacentral:rRNA from 1 species
GACGAACGCUGGCGGCGUGCUUAACACAUGCAAGUCGAACGGUAAGGCCCUUCGGGGUACACGAGUGGCGAACGGGUGAGUAACACGUGAAGAAUCUGCCUUCAACUCUGGGAUAACUCCGGGAAACCGGGGCUAAUACCGGAUAUGAGCCUUGAUCACAUGAUCGGGGCUGGCAAGUUUUUCGGUUGAAGAUGACUUCGCGGCCUAUCAGCUUGUUGGUGAGGUAAUGGCUCACAAAGGCGACGACGGGUAGCCGGCCUGAGAGGGCGACCGGCCACACUGGGACUGAGACACGGCCCAGACUCCUACGGGAGGCAGCAGUGGGGAAUAUUGGGCAAUGGAGGAAACUCUGACCCAGCGACGCCGCGUGAGGGAUGAAGGCCUUCGGGUUGUAAACCUCUUUCAGUAGGGAAGAAGCGAAAGUGACGGUACCUACAGAAGAAGCACCGGCUAACUAUGUGCCAGCCGCCGCGGUAA